rnacentral:misc_RNA from 1 species
AAAUGCGAUACUUGGUGUGAAUUGCAGAAUCCCGUGAACCAUCGAGUUUUUGAACGCAAGUUGCGCCCGAAGCCAUCCGGCUGAGGGCACGCCUGCCUGGGCGUCACGCAUCGCGUCGCUCCCCACCAUACCUCCCCAACGGGUUGGCAUGGUGUUGGGGGCGGAUAAUGGCCUCCCGUGCUUGUGUUUCGGUUGGCCUAAAUAAGAGUUCCCUUCGGCGGACACACGACUAGUGGUGGUUGAAUAGACCCUCGUCUUUUGUUGCGUGUCGUGAGCUGUGAGGGUAGCCCUCAUCAAAGACCCCAUUGUAUCGUCUUCGGAUGAUGCUUCGACCGCGACCCCAGGUCAGGCGGGACUACCCGCUGAGGUUAAGC